UUCAAAUUGUAGAAAAAUUAAAAAGUUAUCAAGCACUGUGUCAUUUCAUUGUUACCAUUAUGAUCUCAAGCUGGAUACUGUUGGUGAUUUUGUCACGAGCGCGUCAUUGAUUAUUUUUUUUAAUAUAUAAUUAUUUAAAAGCAAUUAUCUGAACUUAAAGUGUUUGCUAUUAGAUAGAAGCAUGUGAUUAUGUAUGUUAUCAAACAAUUAUAUAAGUUUUAACUUGGUUUGUAUUCAUUGUUACACGAUGUAUUUUGAUUUUAUGUGUUCGCUAUAUAAGAUACACUUUUAUUGGAAUGUGUAAUGGAUCAAUUAAUUGUAACGUUACUUAGUACUUUUCAUAACGGACAAUGGCUUUCGAUUAUUGCACAUGUAAAGAAUUAUUAUAAGAAACUUUACUAUGAUAAUCCCGAACGGCUUAAAUGUGCAUCUUUUGUCCAAGAAUUUCGUUCACAGUUAAUUUGGUCUUUUGCUAUAGGUUAUGGCAUAUAUUUCAGUUGUUGUGGAUAUUUAGAGUGGUCAUACAGUGUUCGUCGACAAAGUCAAACAGUAGAAUGGAAAUGUCAACCUAAUAAAUGGUUAACUUGGCAAUUGUACUUAGAUCAAAUUAAAUGGGGUGUCGUUGGUUUAGCAUGCACUAAUAUUGUUUCAGCGUUAUUUGCAACGAAUUUUACGUGUGGUGGUUACAGUACACUUUACCUAGAAUUUAAUUCUUAUUCUUGGAUUUGGUGGAUUUUACAAUGGCCGAUAAUUUUUUUAUAUCAAGAUUACACAACGUACUGGAUUCAUCGAAUGUAUCAUUCGCGUUUUUUGUUUGUAAAUUUUCACUAUCUACAUCAUCGAUAUUAUCAACCAACCUCAUGGUCUGUAACAGCACUACAUCCAGUUGAAAUUUUAACUUUGCAAGCUAGUUCGAUGUUGCCUGUUUUUGUCAUACCAGUACAUUGGUUAUCAUUUUCUUUAAUUAUAUUAUAUAAUUACUACCAUGGCAUUAUUCAACAUUCUGGUAUCAAUUUAAAACCAUUUUGGUGGCAACCUUGGCAACCUGAUGUAAUGUUUCAUGAUCUUCACCAUAAAUAUGUAAAUGUGAAUUUCGGUUUUAAUUGCUACAUUUGGGAUCAGAUUCAUGACUCUAUUAAAAAAUAACUAUUUCUAAAAGUUGAAAUGAAUGAUUAUCAAUGAUCAAUGGACUAUAAUAAAAAUAAAAUGGACGUUUCGAUUUGGACUAAGAACUUUUAUAUUUAUUAAAACAUACCUGGGAUAUGUAGAUAAUGAACUAUUAAAUACGUUAAAAUGAAUGAUGAAUAAGAAGCUUCAUAUUAUUUAUCUAACGAUAUCACUACCGUCAUUUGGAUCGUCAAAUUAUAAGAAUUUUCAAUUUGAUAGCUGAAGAGAGGAAUAGUAAAGGGGUGAAGUGUGGUGUAGUGGACACUUUAGAUGCGAUCAAGUUAAGCUUCACCUGUCGCUGUUAAUAGUCGGAAGGGUUACAAUAUGCCAAUUUAAAUGACAACAAACACUAUGUCCCUUAGUAUAGAAAGCAAGUGUGAAAUUACUGUACUCAAUAAUUGCCCAAGAUUCACCAACAAAUUGGUUGGCAUUCAUCAAUCUAACGGUUGAAAACAGAACUCUUUAUUAUUAGAUUUUUAUUUUUUAUCUAUUAUUUUUAAGCUUUAAUAGAAUAUAAAAUUAUAGCUAAACAAUUAUAAUCUGAACUUAACUGGCAAAGUAUUGCGGUAUUAAUGAGUGUCACAUCCCCACAUGAAAAAAAUAAUUAUAUUUUGAAGACACAAUUAUUUUUUCGUUUAUAAGAAGAAGUAAAAAAUUUUCUUACAGAUAAACCCUAAUUACGCGACUGCUAAGCUUAAAUUAACUGUAAAAUUUGCUUUAGCAAAAAAAAAAAUAACAAUUUAGAGUUAGAAACAAAUCACAUUUAAGCCUCCAGGGCAUUUUAAAUAAUAAAUAAAAACAAAGAAACAUAAUUUAACUUAAUUUAUACUCUUCCUUAUUACAUAUUAAUAAAAUU